GACGAACGCUGGCGGCGUGCUUAACACAUGCAAGUCGAACGGAAAGGCCCUGCUUUUGUGGGGUGCUCGAGUGGCGAACGGGUGAGUAACACGUGAGUAACCUGCCCUUGACUUUGGGAUAACUUCAGGAAACUGGGGCUAAUACCGGAUAGGAGCUCCUGCUGCAUGGUGGGGGUUGGAAAGUUUCGGCGGUUGGGGAUGGACUCGCGGCUUAUCAGCUUGUUUGUGGGGUAGUGGCUUACCAAGGCUUUGACGGGUAGCCGGCCUGAGAGGGUGACCGGCCACAAGGGGACUGAGAGACGGCCCAGAAGGCUACGGGAGGCAGCAGUGGGGAAUAUUGCACAACGGGCGGAAGCCAGAGACAGCAACGCCGCGUGCGGGAUGACGGGCUUCGGGUUGUAAACCGAUGUCGCCUGUGACGAAGCGAGAGUGACGGUAAUGGGUAAAGAAGCAACGGCUAACUACGUG
rnacentral:rRNA from 1 species